rnacentral:rRNA from 1 species
AGUGAACGCUGGCGGUAGGCCUAACACAUGCCAGUCGAACGGCAGCACAGUAAGAGCUUGCUCUUACGGGUGGCGAGUGGCGGACAAGUGAGGAAUACAUCGGAAUCUACUUUUUCGUGGGGGAUAACGUAGGGAAACUUACGCUAAUACCGCAUACGACCUACGGGUGAAAGCAGGGGAUCUUCGGACCUUGCGCGAUUGAAUGAGCCGAUGUCGGAUUAGCUAGUUGGCGGGGUAAAGGCCCACCAAGGCGACGAUCCGUAGCUGGUCUGAGAGGAUGAUCGGCCACACUGGAACUGGGACACGGUCCAGACUCCUACGGGAGGCAGCAGUGGGGAAUAUUGGACAAUGGGCGAAAGCCUGAUCCAGCCAUACCGCGUGGGUGAAGAAGGCCUUCGGGUUGUAAAGCCCUUUUGUUGGGAAAGAAAAGCAGCAGGUUAAUACCCCGCUGUUCUGACGGUACCCAAAGAAUAAGCACCGGCUAACUUCGUG